rnacentral:rRNA from 1 species
GUUGUUAGUAAAUAAAAAUUAUGAAAGCAAAAAAUUAUGGCGGUAUUUUAAGCUUUUCAGAGGAAUUUGCUCUUUAAUGGAUAAAACACCUAAAUCUUACUUGAAUUUGUUAAAUCAAUUUGUAUACCACUAUAAAAACAAUUAAUAACUUUAAUUGUUAAAAUUUAUUGAAUUAAAUUAUGUUAAGUCAAGGUGCAGUAAAAAUUUAAGAAUGAAGUGAAUUACAUUUCUUUUCAGAAAUAAAAAAUUAAAUUUACAUAUAGGAUUUGAAAGUAAAAUUAAAAUAGAAUGUUAAUUUGAAUAAAGCUCUAAAAUAUGCAC